CGAACCUUCAAGAUGUAAGUAGUGGUUUGCGGAAAAAUAUGAAAUACCUGGGGUGAUUGGAUGCGUAGACGGAACACACAUUGGUUUAAAAAAGCCAAUUAGAGACAAGCACAUGUACUUCAACAGGAAAGAUAGCCAUAGUCUUAACGUUAUGCUAAUUUGUGACCACACUUGCAAAAUUCUUGCAAUAAAUUGUCAAUAUAGAGGUGCAGCCAUGACUCUACGCAUACUUCCAGUCCUGCUGCUUCCGCAAGGAGCUCCUCAGCAGGUCCACCACCUGCCCACCGGUUGGAAGCCUUGUUAAAAGAAAGCUUCCUCUUUGCGUUGUAUUUCUGAUCAGCGAAAACCUAGAUUAAAAGAAACUUCACAUCCUUAAUUGGCGGCCCUACAGCAUUUAAUUGUUUGGUGAGGUUUUCCCACAAACGGUUGGCCGUUGCUUUUCCCUGCGAGCAGUUUGGGAGUGAAUUCUUUGCCAAGUCAGAGUGUUCGGCCAUGAACUCCGCCAUGAGUUCUUUCUGCGUAGAGUUUAAUUUAUUGUAGUUGGUCCUAAAAUAAGAAAAAUAGCUAUAAACUUGUAUAUGUUUGCACAAAUUUUAUAAUUACUUACAUUUUCCAAAAAAAAAUAUCAAAUUUUGCGCGCGUACGUUCGUCAAAUAUUAAUCGAAUGACAGUUUGAACGAACGAGUACGUUCACUCGCUCAUUCACGCGUGUCAUAAUACCGAAUUCCGAUAUGAGAAGUUCAUUCACGUCUGUCACAAUCCGAUUUUGUCAUAUUUACGUGACUAGUUGCUCGUUCACGACUGUUACGAUUCGAGCCCAGAUCUAUUCUAAUUGGCCCAUGGAGCUAGAUACUGUUUUUAGCGAAUCGUUAGUCUUUCAAAGUUUUUGCGUAGUUGAAAAAUUUAAUUUAAGCCAUGAGGAAUUAUAAAUGAAGUCCCUAAAUAGUAGUACUUUUCCACAGUUUGAAAACAUAUGUAAUUAAAUUUUUUUUUCACUACCCCUCUUAAACAAAGCAACUGAAAGGAUCUUAAGUAUAAAGUUUGCUUCCCGGCGCAAGGAGGGAAACCGGCUUCUAACUAAAAUUAUUUUAAGUGAACUUCAUAUUAAAAGUAAUCUUAAAAUGAAAUGUAUAGAAUUCUUUGUCUAUUUGAAUACUGAAGAUAGAAAUUAUCUCAUUAUA